rnacentral:rRNA from 1 species
GGUUAAGCGACUAAGCGUACACGGUGGAUGCCCUGGCAGUCAGAGGCGAUGAAGGACGUGCUAAUCUGCGAUAAGCGUCGGUAAGGUGAUAUGAACCGUUAUAACCGACGAUUUCCGAAUGGGGAAACCCAGUGUGUUUCGACACACUAUCAUUAACUGAAUCCAUAGGUUAAUGAGGCGAACCGGGGGAACUGAAACAUCUAAGUACCCCGAGGAAAAGAAAUCAACCGAGAUUCCCCCAGUAGCGGCGAGCGAACGGGGAGCAGCCCAGAGCCUGAAUCAGUGUGUGUGUUAGUGGAAGCGUCUGGAAAGGCGCGCGAUACAGGGUGACAGCCCCGUACACAAAAAUACACAU